rnacentral:rRNA from 1 species
GAUGAACGCUGGCGGCGUGCCUAAUACAUGCAAGUCGAGCGAACGGACGAGAAGCUUGCUUCUCUGACGUUAGCGGCGGACGGGUGAGUCACACGUGGAUAACCUACCUAUAAGACUGGGAUAACUUCGGGAAACCGGAGCUAAUACCGGAUAAUAUUUUGAACCGCAUGGUUCAAAAGUGAAAGACGGUCUUGCUGUCACUUAUAGAUGGAUCCGCGCUGCAUUAGCUAGUUGGUAAGGUAACGGCUUACCAAGGCAACGAUGCAUAGCCGACCUGAGAGGGUGAUCGGCCACACUGGAACUGAGACACGGUCCAGACUCCUACGGGAGGCAGCAGUAGGGAAUCUUCCGCAAUGGGCGAAAGCCUGACGGAGCAACGCCGCGUGAGUGAUGAAGGUCUUCGGAUCGUAAAACUCUGUUAUUAGGGAAGAACAUAUGUGUAAGUAACUGUGCACAUCUUGACGGUACCUAAUCAGAAAGCCACGGCUAACUACGUG